rnacentral:sRNA from 1 species
UAUUAAGGUAAAGGGUUAGUGAACCUGUC